AAAUUGGAAACUUAAAAAUCUUAAUUUAUUUGAAUACUCAAAUUCUAAACUGAAUAAACAUAAUGUCACGUAACAUAGAAUAUUUGUUGAAAAUUAAUAGAAACACAAAAUAUCCUAACAGAAUUAUUUCUAAAUGUUUUCUUAAAAAAAUUUACUUGGUAACCUGUGCACCGCUCAGCCACCAUCUACGUCGACCGAUCUAACAUGAAGUGUUAAAAUUGAAGGAGUGAGUAAUUUAUACUCAAUAAAAUAUGUGCGUUCAAAACAAUAUAAUAACUUUUUAAACAUUAAUUUAUAACAUUCCAUAUCAUCAUUUCAUCAAAAGCAAUCGGUGAUCAAUCUAAUGCUCAAACACAUUUCUGUGCAAACAAUUGAGAAAAUCCAAAGGAAAUCUCACUCUCACAUUUCAUUUCAUAUGGACCCGCAUGUCAAUUAAUAUCACGUAAAAAAAUCAUAAUAUUGCAAGGAUGGAUCAACUUGCACACAGUAUCCUAACUCGUUAGAUGAACGAAUAUUUUGAAUGAAUAAUCCAUGAGAGUAUUCCAAUUUCCAAAGUUCCUUGGUUGCCUUAAACGUAAUUAUUGAUAGAGAACUGCAUUUUGCUUUGAAAAAUAUGUGACUAAAAUUUGACUUAUGCAAGAUAUUUAUAGUUUACAAAAAAGUCAUGGUGCAUCGCAAAUUGGGAAGCCAUGAACCACUAGUCAAAUUUGGAUAAAUCUAGGUUUCAAUAUUUGAUUAUACUUUCAUAAUAACUUA
rnacentral:lncRNA from 1 species